AUGCAUAAUCGGCAGCGGCUGACUAGGUUCCUGUCUUGUGGGCACAUAGGAAACAGCGUGUAACAACAGUGGAACCCGGUUAACAAUCGUUCAGCCCAUUGAAGCUCCAAACAGAGAUUUGAGAUCCAGAGUUUCAAACAGGUGUUUCAGGAACGAUAACUCUAUUCUGUAAUCUUUGUUUACAUGUGGACAUGAUACCAGGUUGUGAAACAGAGAAGCUGGAAAGAGACAAUAUAAAUGCUGGAAAGUUGAAUGUAGGGUUUCAUAUGAAUGCUAAACACCAGGAUUUUUUUUUUUUUUUCAGUUUGACAAUUAUUUAACUUAGGAUGGAAAUAACAUUUCUUGGGACAGCAUCAGCCUACCCAACACCAUCAAGAGGAGUGUCCUGCGUUGUUCUCAAGCAUGAUAACUGGUGCUGGAUGUUUGACUGUGGAGAAGGAUCCCAAAUUCAGCUGAUGAAGAGUCCUCUAAAACCAGGGAAAAUCAGCAAAAUAUUCAUAUCUCAUCUCCAUGGAGAUCACUGUUUUGGGCUCCCAGGCCUCAUGUGCACCAUCAGCCAGAACAACGCUAGGACGGAGCCAGUGGAGCUCUAUGGACCGCUGGGACUGAGGAAGUUCCUCCGUGUAUCCCUUGAGCUGUCUCGCUCACAGCUCGGGUUUGACUACAUCGUUCAUGAGCUGCAGGUGCUUGAUAGCCAACUGCCUGCUGAUUGGAUGGAAUGGACAGUAGACCACGCCGCUGAUGAAAAACUCCAUCCAAACGAGAAGGCAGGUAGACUUAUCUCCCCUGAUGAAAAUGGUGUGUGGCAACUGUUCAAUGAUGGGAAGUUCCAUGUGCAGGGUGUUCAACUCCAACAUCGGGUGCCAUCGUUUGGGUUCGCUAUACAGGAGGCACCUCAACCAGGAAGAUUUGACGUGCAGGCAGCUAAGUCUCUGGGGAUCCCACCUGGGCCCCUGUAUUCUAAACUCAAGUCAGGAGAAGCAGUUGUCCUUGAAGAUGGGACUAAGGUGGAUGCGAGUGAGGUGGUCGGCCCAUCCAGACCUGGCCGUCACAUCCUGGUGAUGGGAGACACCAGUGACUCCUCCGAGGUGGUCAAGGUAGGGAGAGGAGCAGAUGUCCUCAUACAUGAAGCAACACUGGAGAACGCCCUGUGGGAGAAGUGCUUGGAGAAUGGUCAUUCCACACCAGCAAUGGCGGCGGAGUUGGCACAGCAGCUGGAUGUGGGACAACUUAUACUCACCCACUUCAGUCAGAGAUACAGGCCGCUAUCAUAUGAUGCUCAGGAAGGGGAGGACUCGGUGAAGAAGCUGCUUGAAGAGGCUGAGAAUGUCCUGGGGAAGGGCAAGGUCAUCUGUGCUGAAGACAUGUUCUCCUACACAGUACCAAUGAAGAAGACUUGAAACAUUCCUGAUAUGAUGAACUCUGUCUUGGAGUGACCAGUAUCGACAGGUUCUCCCCACUGGGAAGACUGAGACUAUAAAUGAUGAACCGUUCAGUUUGUAGAUGGUGUGUGAGGACACAGGCCUUGGAUGACUGAGGUCUCUGUUGCUGAUGUUUGAAACGGUGUCCAUGAUGCCAUCGGCAUGUAUGACUGAAGGUCUCUGUUGCUGAUGUUUGAAAUGGUGUCCAUGAUGUCAUCGGCAUGUAUGACUGAGGUCUCUGUUGCUGAUGUUUGAAACGGUGUCCAUGAUGCCAUCGGCAUGUAUGACUGAAGUCUCUGUUGCUGAUGUUUGAAACAGUGUCCAUUAUGCCAUCGGCAUGUAUGACUGAAGAUCUCUGUUGCUGAUGUUUGAAACGGUGUCAAUGAUGCCAUCGGCAUGUAUGACUGAAGGUCUCUGUUGCUGAUGUUUGAAACGGUGUCCAUGAUGCCAUCGGCAUGUAUGACUGAAGGUAUCUGUUGCUGAUGUUUGAAACGGUGUCCAUGAUGCCAUCGGCAUGUAUGACUGAAGGUAUCUGUUGCUGAUGUUUGAAAAAGUUCCCAGUAAUUUAUGCUUGUCGUACAAAGCGACCGAAUAAAUCUUGUACAAACUUCCUUGACUGGACUUGGGUGUCACCAUAGCCAAAUUGUGAGGGCUGAUCCUCAUGAUAUCACUUACUGAUUUGUCUGAAUAAUCCAGUGAUUGACAUCAUGAGAAUCUAUCUACAAAAUUGGGAUAUGAUGACAUGCAUCAACCACGUCAGCAAGCCUGAUGACCUGAUCCAUUCGUCCUCUUAUGACAAGCAAACGCUGUGAAGACCAAUCCUAACCCGGACCUUCACGGAUCUGCAACUAAUUCGUUCAGGGAAGAAGAAGAAAUUUAAAUUGAAUAUUAAUGAUAUGUACUUUUUGUCAAUUUAUUAGAGGUUUUUUGUUAUGAAUUGUUGUUUAUCAAAAUAUUGUUGACAAUAAAUUUAGUCACUGCUUAUUAUUAACAGGUGUGCUGCAGUGUCAUAAUUCUAUUUCCAAAUGUGUAUUUCAAUACUUGGCCAUAGUUUCCAUGCAACUUACAAAAUUACAUCAAAAACGUAUAUGCACCUUUCCACCUGUCUAUAUUUCUUAAUAACAGUUUGUCCACAAAAAUAACUUUAAACAGAAAGGAAGAACAUUUCCUACCCUUUUGGUUUAUCAGCUAGACAAACCAAUACUAGUAUAAUGUUAAAUUGCAUAAGUUACCUGUGUUCAUGAAACAUGUCAACCCUUCUUUUCUCCUUUGGUAUAUGUAACAAGUUACUUUACAUGUACAUUAUCAUGAGAAGGUUAUCACUAAAUGCAAUAGAACAUGUAUGCUCCUCACUUAAAUUAUCAAUGAAUAAAACUACACGUGGACUCCA
rnacentral:misc_RNA from 1 species